rnacentral:rRNA from 1 species
UAAAGUCAAAUUAAUUGGUUAAAGCUAAUAAAUAAUUACUAUUAAGUACAACAACUCUACUUAUUAUUGUAAGAGUAAAAUCUUUAUAAAUAAGAUAGGAAUGUGUUAAUGUAACAUUAAUUCUCUUACGAGGCGCUAGCAUAAAGACUAGGAUUAGAUACCCUAUUAUGGGCGUGAGUAUGAAAGUUUAUUAAGUUAAUAGCCUUAAUUAAAGCAAAACCUAUUUACUAUGGCGGCUAUUAGUCUCACCAGAGUCGUAUGUCCUUAAACGAAACUGCGCGAUCAUCUUACCUUUUAACUUUUGCUAAUAUAAAAUAAUUACAUUAUAGCAAUCUGGCACGUCGCUGUACUAAAAGUGAAGAUUUUAAAUAACUCAUCUUCUAAUUACUUAUUAGCAUUUAUUAAUAACGUACAAGUCAAGACGCCGUUUUAAGAGGCUUAAGAUGUACGAUUUAAUUGAUUUGAUAGAAUUUAUAAGAAUGAAAACUUUCUUUAUUAAAAUAAUUUGGAAGUAAAAUAGGGUUAUUAUUCUUAUUUGAAAUGAGCUACUAAUAAGU